AGGUGCUGCAUGGUUGUCGUCAGCUCGUGCCGUGAGGUGUCGGGUUAAGUCCCAUAACGAGCGCAACCCCUACCUUUAGUUGCCAUCAGGUUAAGCUGGGGACUCUAAAGGAACUGCCUACGCAAGUAGUGAGGAAGGCGGGGAGUGACGUCAAAUCAGCACGGCCCUUACGUCCAGGGCUACACACGUGCUACAAUGGCCGAUACAGAGGGCAGCUACCUGGUGACAGGAUGCAAAUCUCCAAAGUCGGUCUCAGUUCGGAUCGGAGUCUGCAACCCGACUCCGUGAAGUUGGAUUCGCUAGUAAUCGCGCAUCAGCCAUGGCGCGGUGAAUACGUUCCCGGGCCUU
rnacentral:rRNA from 1 species